rnacentral:rRNA from 1 species
CGGACGGGUGAGUAACGCGUGAGAAUUUACCUUUAGGAGGGGGAUAACAAUUGGAAACGAUUGCUAAUACCCCAUAUGCUUUUUUAAGUGAAACGGAUUUAUUCGCCUAAAGAAAAGCUCGCGGCUGAUUAGCUAGUUGGUAAGGUAAUGGCUUACCAAGGCGACGAUCAGUAUCUGGUUUGAGAGGAUGAUCAGACACACUGGAACUGAGACACGGUCCAGACUCCUACGGGAGGCAGCAGUGGGGAAUUUUCCGCAAUGGGCGAAAGCCUGACGGAGCAAUACCGCGUGAGGGAAGAAAGCCUACUGGGUUGUAAACCUCUUUUUUCAGGGAGGAAAAAAAUGACGUGUACCUGAAGAAUAAGCAUCGGCUAACUCCGUGCCAGCAGCCGCGGUAAGACGGAGGAUGCAAGUGUUAUCCGGAAUUACUGGGCGUAAAGCGUCUGUAGGUGGUUUAAUAAGUCAACUGUUAAAUCUUGAGGCUUAACUUCAAAACAGCAGUCGAAACUAUUAGACUAGAGUAUAGUAGGGGUAAAGGGAAUUUCCAGUGGAGCGGUGAAAUGCGUAGAUAUUGGAAAGAACACCGAUGGCGAAAGCACUUUACUGGGCUAUUACUAACACUCAGAGACGAAAGCUAGGGUAGCAAAUGGGAUUAGAUACCCCAGUAGUC